UCAGAGAUGAGAAUGUGCCUUCGGGAACCGUGAGACAGGUGCUGCAUGGCUGUCGUCAGCUCGUGUUGUGAAAUGUUGGGUUAAGUCCCGCAACGAGCGCAACCCUUAUCCUUUGUUGCCAGCGGUCCGGCCGGGAACUCAAAGGAGACUGCCAGUGAUAAACUGGAGGAAGGUGGGGAUGACGUCAAGUCAUCAUGGCCCUUACGACCAGGGCUACACACGUGCUACAAUGGCGCAUACAAAGAGAAGCGACCUCGCGAGAGCAAGCGGACCUCAUAAAGUGCGUCGUAGUCCGGAUUGGAGUCUGCAACUCGACUCCAUGAAGUCGGAAUCGCUAGUAAUCGUGGAUCAGAAUGCCACGGUGAAUACGUUCCCGGGCCUUGUACACACCGCCCGUCACACCAUGGGAGUGGGUUGCAAAAGAAGUAGGUAGCUUAACCUUCGGGAGGGCGCUUACCACUUUGUGAUUCAUGACUGGGGUGAAGUCGUAACAAGGUAACCGUAGGGGAACCUGCGGUUGGAUCAC
rnacentral:rRNA from 1 species